rnacentral:rRNA from 1 species
UACGUAGGGCGCAAGCGUUAUCCGGAAUUAUUGGGCGUAAAGAGCUCGUAGGCGGUUUGUCGCGUCUGCCGUGAAAGUCCGGGGCUCAACUGCGGGUCUGCAGUCGAUACGGGCAGGCUAGAGUUCGGUAGGGGAGACUGGAAUUCCUGGUGUAGCGGUGAAAUGCGCAGAUAUCAGGAGGAACACCGGUGGCGAAGGCGGGUCUCUGGGCCGAUACUGACGCUGAGGAGCGAAAAGCGUGGGGGAGCGAACAGG